CCUGGGGAGUACGGUCGCAAGACUAAAACUCAAAGAAAUUGACGGGGACCCGCACAAGCGGUGGAGUAUGUGGCUUAAUUCGAUGCAACGCGAAGAACCUUACCUAGGCUUGACAUGAUUGCUAAGAUGCUGAAAGGCAUUGACCCUUCGGGGACCUUACACAGGUGCUGCAUGGCCGUCGUCAGCUCGUGUCGUGAGAUGUUCGGUUAAGUCCGGCAACGAGCGCAACCCCUGUGGUUAGUUACUAACAUUAAUUGAGAACUCUAGCCAGACUGCCCAGAUCAACUGGGAGGAAGGUGGGGAUGACGUCAGGUCAGUAUGGCCCUUACGCCUAGGGCUGCACACGUACUACAAUGCCCAGUACAAUGAGAACCGAGACCGCGAGGUGGAGGAAAUCUACAAAACUGGGCUCAGUUCGGAUUGGAGGCUGCAACUCGCCUCCAUGAAGUUGGAAUUGCUAGUAAUGGCACAUCAGUACGGUGCCGUGAAUACGUUCCCGGGUCUUGAACACACCGCCCGUC
rnacentral:rRNA from 1 species